rnacentral:rRNA from 1 species
AGAGUUUGAUCCUGGCUCAGAAUGAACGCUGGCGGCGUGCUUAACACAUGCAAGUCGUGCGCGAAAGCGGCUUCGGUCGCUGGAGAGCGGCGAACGGGUGAGUAACGCGUGGAUGACCUGCCUGGGAAUGGGGGAUAACUCGGGGAAACUUGAGCUAAUACCGCAUACGGUCACGAGGUUGCGACUUCGUGAAGAAAGAUGGCCUCUUCUUGAAAGCUAUCGUUCCUAGAGGGGUCCGCGUCUGAUUAGCUAGUUGGUAGGGUAACGGCCUACCAAGGCGAUGAUCAGUAGCCGGCCUGAGAGGGUGAUCGGCCACACUGGGACUGAGACACGGCCCAGACUCCUACGGGAGGCAGCAGUGGGGAAUAUUGGACAAUGGGCGCAAGCCUGAUCCAGCAACGCCGCGUGGAGGAUGAAGGUCUUCGGAUUGUAAACUCCUGUCAGGUGGGACGAAGGUGCGAGGGCUAAUAUCUCUUGUUCUUGACGGUACCAUCGGAGGAAGCCCCGGCUAACUCUGUGCCAGCAGCCGCGGUAAUACAGAGGGGGCAAGCGUUAUUCGGAAUUAUUGGGCGUAAAGGGCGCGUAGGCGGCCUGAUAAGUCACGGGUGAAAUCCCUCGGCUCAACCGAGGAGCUGCCUUUGAUACUGUCAGGCUCGAGGCCGGAAGAGGGUAGCGGAAUUCCCAGUGUAGCGGUGAAAUGCGUAGAUAUUGGGAGGAACACCGGUGGCGAAUGCGGCUACCUGGGCCGGUUCUGACGCUGAUGCGCGAAAGCGUGGGGAGCAAACACGAGUAGAUACCCUGGUAGUCCACGCCGUAAACGAUGGGUACUCGGUGCUGCGGGUAUCGACCCCUGCGGUGCCUUAGCUAACGCGUUAAGUACCCCGCCUGGGGAGUACGGUCGCAAGGCUGAAACUCAAAAGAAAUGACGG